rnacentral:rRNA from 1 species
GACGAACGCUGGCGGCGUGCCUAAUACAUGCAAGUAGAACGCUGAAGGAGGAGCUUGCUCUUCUGGAUGAGUUGCGAACGGGUGAGUAACGCGUAGGUAACCUGCCUGGUAGCGGGGGAUAACUAUUGGAAACGAUAGCUAAUACCGCAUAACAGUAGAUGUUGCAUGACAUUUGCUUAAAAGGUGCAAUUGCACCACUACCAGAUGGACCUGCGUUGUAUUAGCUAGUUGGUGGGGUAACGGCUCACCAAGGCGACGAUACAUAGCCGACCUGAGAGGGUGAUCGGCCACACUGGGACUGAGACACGGCCCAGACUCCUACGGGAGGCAGCAGUAGGGAAUCUUCGGCAAUGGACGGAAGUCUGACCGAGCAACGCCGCGUGAGUGAAGAAGGUUUUCGGAUCGUAAAGCUCUGUUGUAAGAGAAGAACGAGUGUGAGAGUGGAAAGUUCACACUGGGACGGUAUCUUACCAGAAAGGGACGGCUAACUACGU